UGAAGCUCAGAGAAAGCAUAAGAUUUGCUUGUCUCCUGGCUCAGAAUUGGGUCUUCUAACGAAUCUGGACGGCCCUGGAAUCCUGGGUCUUGGUCUUCCCUCUUUGGAGAAAGAGAAAAUGGUUCACUUUUCUGCAAAAAACGGUCUCUUGUGGGGUGUGCUUGAGGACUGUUAUUUAUUUGGCCUGCUCUUAAUGACAACUCCUCACCUACCUGCCCAGUCUUAGGAGGAGCCCUGGCUGGAAUUUCCUGUUUUCUGAGGGCUCCUAGGGGCUGCCCUGCACCGCCGUUCCUGGGUGUUCCAGGCCAGACUUGCCGCCUCUCCUGGUUAGGCUGGCUCCAGGCCCUUCCAGGUCUGGGCUUGCAGGCUCAAGUGGAGGAGUCGAGGGACUCCAUCGGCCCGCACCAGGUGCCCAGAGGCCGAGGUCCGUGCGCCCCGGCCGCGGCCCCGGCCUGGGCCCAGCCCCGCGUCCCUCGCCAUGGGCCUGGCCUUCGCCUGUGGGCCCUGAGCAUGGAGCGGGGCUGGUCGCCGGGGGAAAGCUGCAGCGGGGAGCGGCCCGCCGUCUGCCGCCGCGCCCUCAGCGUCUGCGACUCGCUGGACCUGCACAGCACCUCGGCCGACCGGACCGCCGCCGCCCUGCAGGCCGCCUUGUGCGCCGCACGCGAACAGCCUUCGCGGCCACGGAGCGUGUGCUCCGGGACUCCGGGGUCGGCGCCCUCCGGCGCGCGCGGCCUGCUGCUUGGCCUCUUGCGCCCGCGCCACGGCCGUCGGGGCCCUGCGCCCUCAGAACGGCCCGGCUCGCCACCGCCCAGCCCUGAGCUCAGCCCCGCGCCUAUCCGGCGCAGCCGCGGACCUGGAGAGAGGGCAUCCAGGCCGCGGCCCACCAGCAUGACGUUCCUGGAGGUGAACCGUCUAGAGCUGGCGGCGACGGAGGCACCGGGCGCAGGGCUUGGCCGCACGGGGAGUUCGGGCUUCCUGCGGGGAGCGUCCCUAUGGAGUAGCCAGCGCUGGCAGGUGUUCCGUGGUGGUGGCAGCCGCGGCACGGAGAGUCCCCGGCGCGGGCUGUCGGCGCUCAGGAAGAGUUUUAGCUUCCGUCUGCGCCGCGGCCAGGAGAUCCGGCGCUCCGAGUCCGGGCUGCUUGCCCGGCCACCCCGCGCGCGCACCCGCAGCGACGGCGACGCCAGCUCCCUGGGUACCUUCCCCAGUCGCCGAGAUUUGCUGGGCGCCGAUACCCCGUGCGCGCCACCAGAGCCGGGCCGCCCCCGCGCCGCCGCCAGCCUCUGGAAGCUGCUCACCAGCCGCUUCCGCCGGAGGGAGCCCGCGCCCUCAGCGCCGCUGUGGAGCCGCCGGGCAGCCGCAGCCCCAGGACUCCUGGGCGCGCCAAGCGACUCAUUUGUGAACAGCCAGGAGUGGACCCUGAGCCGCUCUGUGCCAGAGCUUAAAGUGGGCAUAGUGGGCAACCUGUCUAGUGGGAAAUCAGCCUUGGUUCACCGAUAUCUGACAGGGACUUAUGUCCAGGAAGAGUCCCCUGAAGGGGGUCGAUUUAAAAAGGAGAUUGUAGUGGAUGGCCAGAGUUACCUGCUGCUGAUCCGGGAUGAAGGAGGCCCCCCUGAACUCCAGUUUGCUGCCUGGGUGGAUGCGGUGGUGUUUGUGUUCAGCCUGGAGGAUGAAAUCAGCUUCCAGACGGUGUACAACUACUUCCUACGCCUCUGCAGCUUUCGAAAUGCCAGCGAGGUGCCCAUGGUGCUGGUGGGCACACAGGAUGCCAUCAGUGCCGCCAAUCCCCGGGUCAUUGAUGACAGCAGGGCCCGCAAACUGUCCACAGACCUGAAGCGCUGUACCUACUAUGAAACAUGCGCAACCUAUGGGCUCAAUGUGGAACGAGUCUUCCAGGACGUGGCCCAGAAGGUGGUAGCCUUGAGGAAGAAGCAGCAGCUGGCGAUCGGGCCCUGCAAGUCCCUGCCCAACUCACCCAGCCACUCGGCCGUGUCAGCUGCCUCCAUCCCAGCUGUGCACAUCAAUCAGGCCACCAACGGAGGCAGCAGCGCCUUCAGCGACUACUCGUCCUCAGUCCCCUCCACCCCUAGCAUCAGCCAGCGGGAGCUGCGCAUCGAGACCAUCGCUGCCUCCUCCACCCCCACGCCCAUCCGCAAGCAGUCCAAGCGGCGUUCUAACAUCUUCACGCUAAUGAACCGGAGGCCGGAAGGCUGUUUGCCCAAGGCGACACAGAGGGUUAGCUGGCCGAGCUAGAGUCCCAGCCAGGCCUCCCAGUCCGCCUUCCGGCUCUUUUUCCGUUACCCCACUGCCGAGGGGAACAUUCAUGCUUCCCACCUACCGCUGUGAUUGGUUUAACAAAGGCUUAGCCAUCUUUUCCUGGGCUUCACCACGCUGCCUCGUGCCUCCCGCUCAGAUAUGUGCCACUGUUUCCAACUUUUCAUCAACAAAAAGGCCUUUCCAACUCCUUCCAAAUUAGAAGACCAGGUGGUGAUACACAGCACCUCUGGACAUUCCCCCUGUGCGGGCCGGAGGCGGGCCGGGCCCUGGGACUGCUCUCAGAUGAGAAGCGGCCGCCGAGCUCCCCGCUCCAGAGACCCACAGGAACCUUUGUAACUAACCCUACCCCCAGGGAAGGCUAGGAACGCCGGAGCCCGCGCUGGGGGCUGCCGGGGGACCAGGCCCGGCUGGAUGCUGCGCCAGGCUCGCUGAAUGGAGAAGAAGGGAGCUCGGCCCACGCCGGCCGGCCAAAGCGAAGAGGCCCAGAGGGGCGGGGGCACUCAAGCCCGCUGGCCCAGCUGCUCCUGGGGGGAGCUUUCCUGCCCCUCCCCUCCUCUGCUCCUUCCUGCAUGGACUUCUGCCGUUCCUGCUCCUGCUCCGGAAGCCGCCGCCACCGCGCUUGCCUUGCCCCCUCUUUUUGGCCCCUCCCCCCUGUUUCCUAGGAUCCGCAUUUGGGUGGACUCUGCCCCAGGAGCUUGGCAGGGUGCAGGCCCUCUUCUGGCCUCUCUCCUCUCUCUCUCCAUCCACUGUGCCCCUCGGGCCACACCGACAUGCUCGGUGCCGUGUGGUGUCUGUGCCGCAAAGAGCACCUGCCCGCUCACUUCCGGACUUUGCUCUCCCUGGUUGUCGUGCCCUGUGCUCCUGGCCAGCCCUCAGCCCCACCGGGCCACCUCUCCUCACCCCUCCCUUCACUUAACAAACUCCAGGCCCUGGGCUGCACACUCAUUGCGCCCUCCGUAUUUUGUGUCCUUGCUCUUUGUGAGGGGCGGGCCUGGCUCAGUGACCUGUGCUGCUCUGUAUGGUGCCGUGUGUAAGAAUAAACCCAUUGGAAUACUCGUGUCUUGGUUCCUUCCCGACCCGCCGUCCAGGCCAAACCCAGAGUUAGGACUGCCCAGGAGAGGGAGGAAAACGGGAGGGUGGAGAACGACAGGCGGGCAGGACUCGCCAGAGAGGCCCCAGACCUCUAACGUGUUUGUUCUUUUCUCUUUCAGUCUCGAAAAGGUGCUGACCUGGACAGGGAGAAGAAAGCUGCGGAGUGCAGAGUGGACAGCAUCGGGAGUGGCCGGGCCAUCCCCAUCAAGCAGGGGAUCCUGCUGAAAAGAAGCGGCAAAUCCUUGAACAAGGAGUGGAAGAAGAAGUAUGUGACGCUGUGUGACAACGGGUUGCUUACUUACCACCCUAGCCUGCACGAUUACAUGCAAAACAUCCACGGCAAAGAGAUCGACCUCCUACGGACUACGGUGAAAGUGCCAGGGAAGCGUCUGCCCCGAGCCACACCCACUACAGCCCCAGGCACCAGUCCCCGUGCCAACGGGUUGGCAAUGGAGCGGAGUAACACACAGCUGGGUGGGGCCACAGAGGCAGAGGAGUCCUUUGAGUUUGUAGUGGUGUCCCUCACUGGUCAGACCUGGCAUUUUGAGGCCUCAACAGCAGAAGAGCGGGAACUAUGGGUGCAGAGCGUGCAGGCCCAAAUCCUCGCCAGCCUACAAGGAUGUCGCAGCGCCAAGGACAAGACUCGGCUGGGGAACCAGAACACAGCCCUGGCGGUGCAGGCUGUCCGCACGGUCCGCGGCAACAGCCUCUGUAUUGACUGUGAAGCCCCCAAUCCAGACUGGGCCAGCCUGAAUCUGGGUGCCCUGAUGUGUAUCGAGUGCUCAGGGAUCCACCGACACCUGGGAGCUCACCUGUCCCGAGUCCGCUCCUUGGACCUUGACGACUGGCCACCUGAACUGCUGGCCGUCAUGACUGCAAUGGGCAACGCCUUGGCUAACAGUGUCUGGGAGGGGGCUCUGGAUGGUUACUCUAAGCCAGGCCCCGAAGCCUGCAGAGAGGAGAAAGAGCGCUGGAUCCGAGCCAAGUAUGAGCAGAAGCUCUUCUUGGCCCCGCUGCCAAGCUCAGAUGUGCCGCUGGGACAGCAGUUACUCCGGGCUGUGGUGGAGGAUGACCUGCGGCUGCUGGUGAUGCUGCUGGCCCACGGGUCCAAGGAGGAGGUGAACGAGACAUACGGGGACGGUGACGGGAGGACAGCCCUGCACCUGUCCAGUGCCAUGGCCAAUGUGGUGUUCACACAGCUGCUCAUCUGGUACGGGGUGGACGUGAGGAGCCGUGAUGCCCGAGGACUGACCCCACUGGCCUAUGCCCGUCGUGCCGGCAGCCAGGAGUGUGCAGACAUCUUGAUCCAGCAUGGGUGUCCCGGGGAAGGCUGUGGCUUAGCACCCACUCCCAACAGAGAGCCUGCCAAUGGCACCAACCCCUCCGCAGAACUGCACCGCAGCCCUAGUAUCCUAUGAAGCUCAGGAAGAGGGCAGAGGGACCAGAAGGACUCCACGGCCUGCAGGAAACAGACGGAGAAGCAGGGGUGUGCAGAGAAGAGGGGGUGCCACGGGUUCAGGGGUAAAGAGGUUUGGGGUUGAGCUGCAGCAGAGCAAGCUGUGCUCAGCCCUCGGCCCUAUGGUGCCAUUAAAGGAUAGAACCCUUUGGAGGUGCCUGUGAGGAGAGGGGGGCAGGACCUCUCCCUCCUCCAGAACCCUGCCUCCUCAUGACAGCUCCCACCAGCCUUCCCUGCGGUGGGUGGGGAAGGACAGGACACAGGAUGGGGGUGCCAGCUGAAAGACAAAGGGCCACUCUGGGAGCCCCAUGUAAAAUUUGUACAUUGGAAUAUUUAUGUUGGUGUAUAUACGUGGUGUGUGUGUAUGAUGAGCCAAUAAAGCAGGCUGUAUGUGUGGCCUCCUUU